UACGUAGGGAGCAAGCGUUGUCCGGAAUCAUUGGGCGUAAAGCGUGCGUAGGUGGCCCGGUAAGUCCGCUCUGAAAGUCACAGGCUCAACCUGUGAAAGCGGGUGGAUACUGCCGGGCUAGAGUCCGGAAGAGGCGAGUGGAAUUCCUGGUGUAGCGGUGGAAUGCGCAGAUAUCAGGAGGAACACCAACGGCGAAGGCAGCUCGCUGGGACGGUACUGACACUGAGGCGCGAAAGCGUGGGGAGCGAACAGG
rnacentral:rRNA from 1 species